rnacentral:rRNA from 1 species
ACCAGACUCCUACGGGAGGCAGCAGUGGGGAAUAUUGCACAAUGGGGGAAACCCUGAUGCAGCGACGCCGCGUGAGCGAAGAAGUACCUCGGUAUGUAAAGCUCUAUCAGCAGGGAAGAAGAUGACGGUACCUGACCAAGAAGCUCCGGCUAAAUACGUGCCAGCAGCCGCGGUAAUACGUAGGUGGCAAGCGUUGUCCGGAUUUACUGGGUGUAAAGGGCGUGUAGCCGGGCUGACAAGUCAGAUGUGAAAUCCGGGGGCUCAACCCCCGAACUGCAUUUGAAGCUGUUGGUCUUGAGUAUCGGAGAGGCAGGCGGAAUUCCUAGUGUAGCGGUGAAAUGCGUAGAUAUCAGGAGGAACACCGGCGGCGAAGGCGGCCUGCUGGACCGUGACUGACGUUGAGGCUCGAGAGCGUGGGGAGCAAACUGGAUUAGAUACCCGCGUAA